UUUUUUUUUGUGAGCGGUUUGAGAUGUACAUGAUGUAUAUAAUUACCUGUUUUUGAACUUCCACAUUACUCAAGCAAUCUCCAUGUGUGUCAUAAGCUAGUAUGAAUAAUCAAAAUCUUAUGUUCUUAACCUAUCCUGUCCCUGAAUGAACUUUCCUGAAUUAAUUGUGACAUCCACUUUGAACAAUUAAUCAAUCUGUCUAACAACAAAGAGCGGAAAAGGAAGUAGAAUUUUGAUGUUUAUAAACAUAGAAAUCUCCUCUAAAAGGAUGUUUCUGGUAAUCAAACAUUUGAGCAAUAAUUCAACAUUUUUAUUCAAUUUUCACAAUUUUCAGUUUUUAUUUGAACAAUUUUGACAAUAUAAGGCGGAUAUAUCCAGUUACCGACGGUAAAUAAAGAUGACCGCUGCACGUAACCUUGCUGACCAUGCAAACUCAUGAUGUGUGACUGUCAAGAAAAACCCAUGAUGUGUGAACAGUUCUCAGGGAAGCCAAAACUGAUAAUGUAUAUACAAAGUAUGGGAUACAUAUCUUAAUUUGAAAAGGUUUUUGGAUGACCCACUUAAGAUAUGGUUGUCAGAAGAAAAGGAGAAUGAUCACCUGCUGAUAGCCCACAAAGCUAAGUUUUAGAUGGCUCAGUAAAGUAAGAAAGGUUUGACAGAAUACCGACAGAACAAGGGCACAGUAGAUUGACCAUAACCUUUCAUACCUCACCAAGGAGCUAUUACUAAGCAUCCAUAAUGGAUAUAAAUAUGAAGUGAAGAAAAUGCAAGGAGGGAAACAAAAUCCAAGGCUCCAAGCAAGACUUCAGGCUUCAGAAAAGGAUAUAUUAACAAGUAAAGCUUAAUAGAUCUUUUUACGUGAGGUAAUCAGUUGUCACUAUAAAUCCUUGCACAGCCAAAGAGAUGACAGCAAUAUAUGUUUUAAAAGCAGAUCGUCGCCCGAGAAAUGCUUAAAGUUUUCUGCUCCUUCAUAUGGUACCAGCAGAGGAAGCCUAGUUGUUUCCUGCAUUUGUUUUCGUAGGCGGCCAUAAAAGAUUGUGAACAACCACACAAGCUUGUGAACUAAAUUAUAGACAAACAAUGUUAGUAGCUCCUGUUCUUAUUUUGGAGUUAUUUUUUUCCAAAGUAUCUUAAGUAAAGUUGCUAGGAAUAGGCCUGCUAAAGUUGAUGUUGCAGUAAUAGCACGUGCAUAUUCCCUACAGGAAAUAUCUGUUCUAGCUUUAUAGAUCAGUCAAGAACGUACCAAAUGGAAAUACUUACACUAAUAAAAAUCAAACCCAAGUCUAGAUUAACAUAACAGUGACAUAACAAAGAAUUCAACAGAGUAUUUGCUUACUUUCGCUGAAGACGAAACUUGAAUUCUGAAGAUGUUCUCAUACGUUUGUUCGUGCAGGUAGAUUACGCAGCAGCUUGGCAGAAUGAAGACUCCUCACUUACAGAUCUACAAUAGCAGAUUCCUCAGUAGGCUAAGGCAGGCAAUUGUUUGCAAAGCAUAUGAAAGCCAACAGCAGAAAACAUUUAUUCCAAAAAGAAAUCAGAGAACCAAGUUAAGCAAAAGCGGUGCCUAUUUACAAGUAACGAUCAACCUGUCUCGGUCCACAGUGUUAAAUCUGCUUAAAGCAUCUGCGAGGAAAUUUCAACGGAGCAAAUAUUUCCCAGCUUGUGCUUUAUGGUUGAGGUGCCAGUGAUGUACGUACCUUGUUUGUACUGAAGGGAUGAAAAGAUGACGAUAAAUAGAAUUUCAGAAUAAUAUCUUGACCCGUUGUGAGCCGUCAAAAGCUCUGAAGAUUAUGACAGGGGCACGCUAUUAAGCAUCAAUGGACCACCCUGAAAAAUCAGUCUCUUUAUCGUGUCAGCGUCCACUUGUACCGAGUUACCAACCGUGCGUCCAAUCAGAUUGCACGGUUUCACUGUUCCGGCCACAACAUCUAGAAGGCAUGUCAAUAUCUUUCCUGCAGACAAAAGGAAGGAUGUGAAUAUCAACCUAGAGAGCCAAGAUAUUUCUCAGUGGUUGGUUGAACAUAGCAACAGAGACAUGAAAAUCCAGCAGAAAAUGGGACUCAGUUGUCUCAAAACCAUAUGAAACCUCCCAGCAAAAAUUUCAUAGACUGAAGUGUGUUAUUGGUGGAGGAAAAGUCUUAAUUUGAAAAUGUUUUGGAUGGCCCAGCAAGAUAUGGUGCUCAGAAGAAAAGGAGAAUAUCUCGCAAAAAAAAAAGAGAAGGAGAAUGAUCACCUCCUGAUAACCCACAAAGUAAAUUUGUUGAUGGCUCAGUAAACUAAGCAAAGUUUGACUGAAUACAGACACAAGAAGUACAGUAGAUUGACCAACCAGGAGAAAUAGUUCAGAAAAGGAUACGUCAACCAGUGGAGCUUGAUGGAUCUUUUUUUACGAUAUGAUUCUAAAUAAUCAGUUAUCAGCAUAAAGCAAACUGCAGGCCUGGUCAUGAAAUAAUAUUGCAGACUUGAUCUGGAGCUGACCUUAUUUCACCGAUGAUAAAUGCUUGCAUGGUCGAAGAGAUAACAAUUAUAUACGGCCUGAAAGCAUUUCGAUGCUCGAGAAAUUAUUAGAUUUUUUUUUUCUUGAUAUGGUACCUAGUACCAACAGAGCAAGCCUAUCUGUUUCCUGCGUUUCUUUUCCUAGUGACCAGACCAUAAAGCUUUGUGAACAACCACAGAAGCCUCUGAAGUCAAUAAACAGACAAUAUAAGUACAGUGGCUGUUCUUCUUAAAAAAUCUUCAAGUUACUUUUCCAAAAAUAUCUUAGCUCCUGAGUUGAUGUUGCGGUAGACAGCACCUUUAUAUUCCCUACAGAAACCAACUAGCCUAGAUUUAUAUAACACUCAAGAAUGGACCAAAGAUAUACUUGCACUAAUAAAAAGAAAAACCAAGUCUACAUUAAUAGGACAGUGACAUAACAAAGAAUUCAUUAGAGUAUUUGUUCAUUUUCUCUGAAGAGCAAACCCAAAUUCAAAAAUACUCCCAUACAUUUGUGCGCAGGUGAGAAUGAAGAUCGCUAAUAGGUCUAAAAUAGGAGAUUCUUUGGUAUACUCAUACAGGGGAAUGUUUGCAAGCAUAUAUAGAAUCCAACAUCAGAAAACAUGUUGUCUAUUUUCAAGCAUGUCAUUUUCUACUUACCAAGAAAGGCUUUCACCCCGCUUUAUAUAUAAAGCAUCAACCACACAUUACAGCCUUCACCACAACAAAGAAGGAAAAGAAGAGAAAAGAAAAUCGACAAGGGUACAGACACUAUGGAAAAAAAAGCGACGGCCUCCGAUCAUGCGAUUGACGCAACUGCAACAAGGGAGCAAUUCGCCACCGGAAGGAGGUCACGCUCCAUCAACUCCAAAGGGCCAACCCUGGUGUCCUACCUUCCGCCGCUGCCUCCGAAGAGGGUGCUGGAAUUUAGUCUAUUUUGGGACAACCCAAUAACUAUUUCAGAAAUUCCUAGAUAAAUCCUAGAGGCCCACUUAGCCCAUUUGUGCAAGACAAGGGAUACUACUAAUGUUUAGUCCCACAUUGCUAGUUGAGUGGGAGUUGGACCUCCUUAUAAGGGAGGUUCUUUCUCCACUUGUAUGAGCAUGAGAACAAGAGGCACAUCCACGCGCGCUCCUCCUCCGCCGCCCGCCUCGCCACGUCCCGCCGCGGGAAUGAGCCGAGCCGAUGUCUAAAUUUUUGCCACGCACUACGGGUAUACGAAAGGUCACUCGGAAGCUGAAACAUUUUUUCUAUCCAUGGACACUAAAUCUGAACGACGCGUCUCUUCAGCUGCUGCCUGUUCGUUUCUUCUCCCGCGUUCCCUUCAGCUCCCGGCGCAGCCUAUCGCCUCCUUCUCUUGCGCCUAUAAAAGGGAGGUCGCUCCUCUCAGAGAGAUGCACCAGAAUCUCUUCCUCCUCUCGCAACAAGUUCCUGAGCACUACGCUGUUGCUACGUUCUUCCUCAUCCCGGCUUGCGGCAUGCAUCGCAGGUCGGGACAGUAGGCCUCCGAAACCGCACCUUUUGAGUCCUGUACGGGAGAAGGGUGAUAAGGUUUUUGGGGAGCGCUCUGCGCGACUACUGACUUAUUCGUCACGGACGCCCCGGACUCCGACGACUACUUCCCCGACGUCGAUAACCUCCUCGACGACAUGGAGGACACCGACCCCAAGUCUAGUGCCUCUGCUCCUGCUGCUGUCACGUACGUGUUUCUCCCCUUUCUAUUAGAGGUUCUGCUACAGUUCCUGGUUCUAGUAUUUGCCCUACAUAUGUUAGACUCUAUUUCAUAUAUGCAACCUGCUAUACUGUCUGCUCUAGAUAUGUUUAGUUACGGUUCAUAUAUGAACAUGUUGUUUACCUUCUCUUUGUCGAAUCGCAUGGCUUGUUUUAUCACUGCUAUACUAGUCAUGCUUUAUCUAGUAUUUCUGUUAAUAAAAUCAUUCGGAAAAUUGCUCAUAUUUCCAACAAUCCAAAAACCUUAUUAUAGGCAAUUUACCUCGAAUGGUUUUGCUGCUUCCAUGAGACCUCCUAUGUUUGAGGGUAUCCACUAUAAGAGGUGGGGCGUGAGAGCAGUAUUAUGGUUUCAAACCAUGAGUUGCUAUGACGCCACUCUUGGCAAACCUGAAGGAGAGCAAGAUGCCCAACAGGCACAAGCUUUUUAGAAAAUGGAUACCUUGUUUAAGGCUGCUCUCUUGAGUGUUCUUGGUGAGAACAUAGUUGAUGCUUAUGCGUCAAUUGACAAUGGAAAAGAUAUGUGGGAUGCACUCGAGGCCAAGUUUGGGGUCUCGGAUGCCGGCACUGAGCUGUACAUUAUGGAGCAAUUAUAUGAUUACAGGAUGACUGAAGAGCGCUUCGUGGUUGAGCAGGCUCAUGAGAUACAGUUAUUUGCUAGAGAACUUGAGCACUUCAACUGUAUCCUACCAGACAAGAUUGUUGCCAGGGGUAUCAUCACUAAGCUUCCUCCUUCGUGGAGGAACUUUGCUACCUUACUGAAGCAUAAGAGACAGGAGUUUUCCGUCCCGGAUCUCAUUGGUACUCUUGAUGUGGAAGUGUCGGCAUUCUGGGAACGGGGGUACCCAGACUUGCCUGCCUGCGGCCUGCGGCGUGGCUCAAGGAGUGGCCCAGUACGGCCCAUCUUCAUCAACACAUGCUCAAGACCCUCGCGAGGGGCCAAGCGUCGCGGGGAGGACGACAGGAAGCUUCCUCGGGCACAGCCUCGUCAGGCUGGCUCACGAGGAGGCGGAGAGAUCAAGGCAGGGUACCUCACGAGGUGCCCAUGACGCAAGCCAUGACGACCGAGGCCAGGCGGGCGCCGGCCUGUGUAGAGUCCUUGUUUCCCCUUUGGUGCAAAGGGGGAAAGCGCAAGCAAGAGUAUCAAGUAAAGGCAACCAUUUCGGUGCAACAAGACCAAGACCAGCAGAACGGCAGGAUGGAGGUUAUCGUGGAGUCCAAGCCGGCGUCACCGUCAGAGUCUUUGGCAGGCGAGGACCGACUUUAGCCAGGAUAAGUGUACUAGAUGUUCCCCUUCAAAAUGGCCAAUUGUUGGUGCCCUUCCCGCUUAAUAUUUGGGAAGAGGACCAAGGCCUCGCUCUAUAAAUAGGACUAGCCACCACAGAGUAGACGAAGAGAAAAAGGGACCCCGGAUCCAAUCCUUCCCAAGAGGCAUCACCUCCACAAGAACUCCUCCCCUCGCGAGGCAGUUCUUCCUUUGUAUUGUUCAUCACCAGCCCUUGAGGCAAUCUACCACACCACAAACUAGAGUAGGGUAUUACACCACAAUGGUGGCCCGAACUAGUAUAAACCUCGUGUCCCUUGUAUUGUUCUUCGUGUAGUUUAGAUCUUUGCGAGGCGACGAGACGUAGGUAGGUAGGAGGUGUGAUCUCCGCACGCACCCCAGAGUUCGAACCUUGAGGGUCUGCCGAAACCCGAAAUCCGACAUUUGGCGCGCCAGGUAGGGGUGCACCGGAAUCCGCCUUCCGCCGCCCUGUGUUUCGCCGCCCGUCGCAUCCAUGUCAGACGCUCGUCGAGCCCGCGCCGAGCGCUGGGCCCCCAUCGGCGGAUGUCCCCGCCGUUCCCCCUCGUCUGCCAUCAACACCGCCACCGGCCCGGCGGGGAACGAGCAGCAGGCGUCGUCCCUGCAUCCUUCGGUGCGGUGAAAAGGCCGCACCACCACCCCGUCACUGACUCCAGCCGGUUCCUCGUCCCAUGCCCGUUGCGCUCCUGUGGACGCGCACGCCGCGCUGCUCCUGGCGCGGGAGCUCCUGCACUACCGUCCCGUUGACGACCUCUAUGACGAGUGGCUCGCCCGCAUCACCGAGCUCGUCAGCGCCGCUGGGGGCUCCCCCGCGCCAUCCCUCUCCCUGCACCGCGCCCCGCCCUGUGCGGGCAACGAGCUCCAGGGGCGCCUCAGCCGCCUCCCCCUCAAGAAGGCGCCUUGGCCCCAAGGCGCGUGGCCCCUGGACGGAACCCACUCCGUCCGGCGACGGCACAGCAAGAGAAGAGCUGCCAAGAGAUCCCUCGUCCCCAAGAAGCUGCCCAUGUGCUCCCCGCACCGGCCCGUCACGACCGCGCUCCUGCUCCAGCGUGCCAAGACCCCGCGCUGCUCCUGGUGGCAGCGCACGGAGACUUCCAAGAUCGAGCUCUCCGUCACCAAAGGCCUCCCGUGUCCACUGCAGGCUGCCGUGCCUUCACCGCCGAGCUGCGCAGCGUGGCCUGGUCGGGCAAGUUCAAGCCAUAUCUGCCCCCGCGCUACGAUGGCACAACUGACCCUGCGGAGUUCCUCCAGCUCUAUGAGAUGGGCAUUGAAGCUACCAACGGGGACGAGAAGGUCAUGGCGAACUGGUUUCCUAUGGCGCUCAAGGACGGUGCCCGCACCUGGCUCCUGAACCUAGCUCCUGGCACGAUUUCCUCCUGGGACGAGAUGCGCACCCGAUUCAUCGCCAACUUCCAAGGCACCCGUGACCGGCCUCCGGCCAUGAGCGACCUGCGCCGCAUCAAGCAGCAGCCAGGAGAGACCCUGCAAAAGUUCAUCCAGCAUUUCAACAACACUCGCCUUAAGAUCCCCAGGGUGUCUGAGGAGGCCAUCAUCUCAGCCUUCUCUGACGGCGUGCGUGACAUCAAGAUGAAAGAGGAGCUUGCGAUCCAUGAAGACCUGUGCACCUCCCUGGAGCUGUUCAACUUGGCGACCAAGUGCGCCAGGGCUGAGGAAGGACGCCUUUCCCUCCUUGAGCUGCCGGCUGCCGACCCAGAAGAGAAGAAGCCCAAGGUCAAGGACGUGAAGCACAAGGGGGCUGCCAUGCUUGCAGCAGAACAGGACACCAAGCGAGGCAGGGAUCAGCCUGAGUCAUCCAAGGGCAGUCGAUACUGCGUGUACCACGACCUCCAGACCCACAACACCAACGAAUGCCAAGAGCUCAGGGACGUGCGGGACGUGCGUGCCGGCGGACGCCCCGAGCGCAAUGACCGGGGCUAUGUCCGAGGAGGAGGAAUAGGUGGAGGACGAUGGGAAGAUCGUGGCCCUCGCCAAGGGUGGCUUGACCAACCUCGCGAGGUGUUGGGGAACAUAGCAGAAAUUCAAAAUUUUCCUACGUGUCACCAAGAUCUAUCUAUGGAGAAACCAGCAACGAGGGGAAGGAGAGUGCAUCUACAUACCCUUGUAGAUCGCUAAGCGGAAGCGUUCAAGAGAACGGGGGUGAAGGAGUCGUACUCGUCGUGAUCCAAAUCACCGAAGAUCCUAGUGCCGAACGGACGGCACCUCCGCGUUCAACACACGUACAGCCCGGUGAUGUCUCCCAUGCCUUGAUCCAGCAAGGUGAGAGGGAGAGUGUCGGUGUCAAAACUGGCGGAUCUUGGGUAGGGGGUCCCGAACUGUGCGUCUAGGCGGAUGGUAAUAGGAGACAAGGGACACGAUGUUUUACCCAGGUUCGGGCCCUCUUGAUGGAGGUAAAACCCUACGUCCUGCUUGAUUGAUAUUGAUAUUAUGGAUGUUUACAAGAGUGGAUCUACCACGAGAUCAAGGAGGCUAAACCCUAGAAGCUAGCCUAUGGUAUGAUUGUUGUUGUCGUCGUUGUCCUACGGACUAGAGCCAUCCGGUUUAUAUAGACACCAGAGAGGGCUAGGGUUACAUAGAGUCGGUUACAAUGGUAGGAGAUCUACAUAUCUGUAUCGCCAAGCUUGCCUUCCACGCCAAGGAAAGUCCCAUCCGGACACGGGGCGAAGUCUUCAAUCUUGUAUCUUCAUAGUCUUGGAGUCCGGUCGAUGAUGAUAGUCCGACCGAUGAUAGUUCGGCUGAUGAUGGUAGUCCGGCUAUCCGGACACCCCCUAAUCUAGGACUCCCUCAGUAGCCCCUGAACCAGGCUUCAAUGACGAUAAGUCCGGCGCGUAUAUUUCUUGGCAUUGCAAGGUGGGUUCCUCCUCUGAAUGAUAGAAGAUUGUGAACACCAGGAUAGUGUCCGGCUCUGCAAAAUAAAUUCCACAUUUCACCGUAGAGAGAAUAAUAUAUACACAAGUUCAAUCUGCUGACGUUUUUUUUUGCGGCAUGACGUCACGCCACUACCAAGCCAUUACUUGAAUCGUUUUUUUACUCUACCACCUCAGCGCAUUUAGCGAAGCGGUUUCCUUGGCACGUCUUGUCGAAGCAGAGACCGUGUUUCCCCUUAAUCUGGGAUUCUCAUCAAUACGGACGUGGGUAACCCAACCGCGCCAUUGAUGGUGACGCUUGGGGGAUAAGCGAGUUUUACCAGGCCGGUGGGGGACGCGUAGACUUCGCCCGCCCAUAUAAGGGAUAAGGAUUCACCUUUUCACCUACGCCUUCUUCCUCCUUUGCUUAUCCAUCUCCGCGCACUCGAGCUCCAGCGCCCAAGCCCGCACAUCUCGUCUCAACCUUCCCAAGUCAUGUCUAGAGCGGGAGGCAAGUGGAUGACCUCCUCCGUUACGGAGUAGCACAUCGAAAGAUUGCGCAGCGCCGGAUACCUGUCCGGCGACAUCACGCACCAGCUGCCCGACGAGGGGCAGCUCAUCCCCACCCCCAGGUCCCAUGAGAGGGUCGUUUUUCUUCCCCACUUCCUCCGUGGACUGGGCUUUUCACUUCACCCCUUUGUCCGGGGGCUCAUGUUCUACUACGGCCUGGAUUUCCAUGAUCUGGCGCCGAACUUCAUCCUCAACAUCUCGGUGUUUAUCGUCGUGUGCGAGGCCUUCCUCUGCAUCCAGCCCCACUUCGGCUUGUGGCUCAAGACCUUCAAUGUCAAGCCGAAGGUAGUGAAGGGCACUCAAGCGGAGUGCGGAGGCGCCAUGUUGGGAAAGAUGCCCAACGUCCUUUGGUUCGAAGGGGCCUUCGUGGAAUCCGUCAAGGGGUGGCAAUCGGGGUGGUUCUAUAUCACCGAGCCGCGCGACUCCAAGUGGGCGGCGGCCCCCGAGUUCAGAUCUGGUAUCCCCACGCAGCUCACCUCCUGGAAAGAGAAGGGCUUGCUGUGGGGUAGUUCGGAGGAGGUGACGGGACUCCAAGCCUGUAUCCAGAAGCUGGUAAAGAAGCUCGGGCUGGUUAACGUGGUCCAAGUCAUGCUCGUCCGCCGGAUUCUCCCAUGCCAAGAGCGGGCAUUCAAUCUGUUGGAGUUCAAUCCAGAACAGCACCAGGCGCUGAGCGGGCUCUUCGAUACGACGUACGAAGGCGCCUGGAGGGUGCUGUUUAAGGGCGCCGAAGCCCCCGCAUCCGCGACUGAAGAUCGCGGAUUUCGCUCGCAGCGCCAAGCCGACGAGGUAAGUGAUUCUACCCCUUUACGAGACACUUGCUUUUCAUAGUUUGACUCUAUGCGGGUUUUAAUUUCCCCUUUUCCUUUGACAGGACUUGAUGAGGAAGGCGGAGCAGAUUCUCUGCCCGGCUCCUAUGCCAGAAAACCCAGUAGAUUCCCGUCUAGCGAGGCUGCUAGUUCCGGCACCGCACGUGGUGCCGGAGAAGAAGGCCAAGAAGGAGGCCACGGGUGCUUGAAAGAGUUCCCGUUUUCAGGUGUCCGACGACUCCGGGGCGGACUCCUCCCCCGAAAACGAGGAGGAGAAAGAGGACUCUCUCCCAGAGGGGGGAGAGAGGAAGAGGAGGGCUUCCCCAACAGGGGAGGCCGAAGGGUCCAAGAGGGGAAGGACUAUUCUCCCGGACAGCUCCGCCAACAUCAACGUUGGCGAGGAAGAAUGGCCUUCAAGGGCCAGGCCUCCGGCGAGAUCGUAAGUAUCCGGAUUCCUGAAUGAGUUAUAAUUUCUUUUUCUGCGUCACAUAGUGUCAUUCUGAUGCCGCAUGCUGCCUGUAGUCCGGCCAAUGAUGAUCUGCCCGCUUCAACGAGUGGGUCGUUGGCUCCGUCAGAGGUAGACUCCAUCCCGACUGCCUCCACCCCUCGCGACACCGAGGACGCCGAGGUGGGGUCCCAAGAAGGGGCCCAUCAGGGGAAGGCUCCGGAGGCGCCACGAGGCGGCCUCCCGGACUUUGCGCCAGACUCCAUAUCAGAACCCGCAGUGGUUCCGGAGUCCGGCCGGCGGCCCCUUCACACGAAGGGCAAGACCGUGACACCGGCGGCUUCCGUCCAACCGGAGGCGCCGGAUAAUUUGUUGGAGGCGCUCCAGAGCGCUUCCAUCGAGGAAGAACACCGCACUAUUAUGAGUGCGGUGAUUCAGAAGGUACAGCUCGCCAAGAGCGGGCUGACCGAAGCCUGCAGUAGCCUUCUAUCAGGCUUUGAGGUAAGAAGUUAAAAAAUAUGCAAUGUAAUACCGCAUAGAUAGUAGCCCCUGAUGCUCGGUUCGGUGUUCGGAAAGAAAAGCCGGACUGAGGAUCAAAAAAAAAGAUAUACGCAGGGUUGCUAAAAAAUUAUGUCAAUAUGGGUUGCAGGCUACGCUGCUGACCUCUGCCGCACUGACUGCGGAGGUCGGUGUUUUGAAGCAGGAGCUCGAGCGGUCCGAGCAAGAGCUCGGCCGCGCCAAGAAGCAGCUCCAGGACAAAGAAGGUGAGUAACACCACUUUGAACUUGUACCUUACAGAAAAGGAUUUAGGUUGCAACAAAAAAUAACAAGGAUAACAUGGGUACUGCAGGGGCCACGAACGAGGUGGCGACCCUGAAGGAGGCCGUGUCUGCGGCCGAACAUAAUGCGGCCGCGGAACGAGCAGAGCGAGAAAAGCAGGAGGCGCGGGUGGCGGUGGUUCAGCAAGAGCUCCAGGCUCUCAUGGAAAAGCAUGAGAGUUUGGAGCGUGACUCAAAGACUCGAGAGUCCGAGCUUGCCUCGGCUCUCGAAAGUGCCAAGACUGCCAAGGCCGAUGCCCAUAAGUCCCUUCAGGAGAUUGAGUUGGUGAGGAAGAUAGCGGCGGGUAAGGCAUUUUUCAUGCAAAGCAAGCAUGUGAAUGUAAAUUACGUGUUACUUACCCAUAUUCGGAGCUCUCCAGGGGCAUUUACAGAUCUGCCUCGUAGUGUAUCUAAUGCCGCCACAUUCUAUCGAGCCGAGAAGGGGAGCUCAACGGAGAAGGUCUUCUGGUCUCAGUAUGCUGAGGCCGGCCAUCCGGUGCCCCCUAGCGACCAGCUGAAGCAGCUGGUCGAGCUCCACAAGGUGGCCGAGCAGGCCAUGAAGGGCCUCAUAGUCCGGCUGUGGCCUGGAGAGGCCAUGCCUGGGAGCUACUUCGGCCUCGUGCGACGGUUGGUGGAUGCGUGCCCCUGGGUGGAGGUUAUCAAGCGCUCCGCCUGUAUUGAAGGUGCUCGUCGGGCCCUUGCCCGCGCAAAGGUGCAUUGGGGCAAGCUGGAUGCGGAGAAGCUAAUCACUGACGUGCCACCAGCGGGCAAGGAAUAUCGUACGCCCGAAAUGUACUAUAGGACUGUCCUGAAGGGUGCCCGCAAGAUUGCGGAUGAGUGCCCCAGGGAUGUAAUAAUUGAGUAAAUUCGCAAUGUGUUAUCUUGUGCGCUGAAAACUUUGUUCAUAUGCGCUAAGCAACGUUUGUUAAUUUAAAAUAUUACCUUCUGUGCGGCCGUUUAUUAAAUCUGAGAGAUGGCAAGUCGUCGGCUUCAACCCCCAUGCCACGAGUGCUGGGGUGUUCGGGAUAAACUUGAGCACUCUUGUUCCCAUUUUUGGGUCCAUCUAGGGAGGCGCUCAACACAACAAACAAGGCAACCGGACUUAUAGUGCUUGAACACUCUCACUUAGCCAUAGAAUUCUAUAAUUUUAAAUUUCGGCGAAGCCCCUAGUAUUCGGAAGACCGAAUUAGGGGCGCUAUCCACGCCUUCGUCGGACAUUAUCCGGAACUUCGCUCGAAGCGGCGUAGGUCUUUAAGGACCCGAAAGGACCUCUCGAACAGCGACCAGUCUCUCGCCUUAUCAUGACAGUCAGUUUUAGCUUUCUCCACUGAGGCGUUAACCCGGCUCAACCGGGGCGCAAUCGCAGUGGUUCUCCCAGUGCUACCUUAGCCGAUAGAACGGAAACGUAAGGUGCCAAACAUGGGAGUCGGGCAAACCCAACUAUUGACCCAAGACAUGAUUCGGAGCCGAUUCAUAUAAUGCUAUAAGUUCGGGGUGCCGCACUUGAGAAAGUGUGCGGACUUUAUCACACCAUAAAGCGGGGAACAUAAGCCCCUGGUGUAUUUGUCCGUACCAAAAUGUACGGAUGCAACAUGUUGUAAAUGAACAUAUGUAUAUAAUGUAAUGCAAUUAUGGGCAAAAAGUGCUACAUUUUAUUCGAGAAGAUCUGUUAUGAGUAUGGAAUGAUACAAAUAGUGCGGAAAGCAAGGGAUUGGACGAAGUAAAGGCGUCUCCCUCCAGGGGUAGGCCGCGGAAUGGUAUAUUUAACAAAUACAAUGCUCGUACUGGAGACCACCUGAGUGUUCGUCGCGGCCUUUGUCCCUCCCUGGCUGUUGCAUCAUGAGUUCGGCAGAUUCGCCGCUGGACAGAGUUCUGUAUAAAAAAGAAAAAUAAAAGAUAAAAAGAGGGACACACUUGGGAGCCCCUGGUGUGGUCGAACCGCACUCUGGGUCUGUUGUGGUUGUGCCUCUCCCCCUAUGCCCAUGGUAUCUCCAGGGCGUAAUUAUGUAUGCGGAGAGUUUGUCUUACAGUUGAUCGAGGGCUGGGGUUGAGGCCGCAUUGCUACGCGUGCUCGGAACAUGCCAGGUGGUCUUGGUUGAUGUUGCUCCUGGCGUGUUUGGCCGUGUCCGGUCGUUUAACAGCCGGACUCGAAAAUUGCCUUAAAAGGCUGCUCUGUACUUCUGCCGCGAGAGCCGCUGUAUGUUCCUCCGUUCGGAGGGAGCGUUCCGUGUUUCCAUUGACCGUGAUGACUCCACGAGGGCCUGGCAUCUUGAGCUUAAGGUAUGCAUAAUGCGGCACCGCGUUGAAUUUUGCGAACGCGGUUCGUCCAAGCAGAGCGUGAUAGCCACUGCGGAACGGGACUAUGUCGAAGAUUAACUCCUCGCUUCGGAAAUUAUCCGGGGAUCCGAAGACCACUUCUAGUGUAACUGAGCCUGUACAACUGGCCUCGACACCUGGUAUGACGUCUUUGAAGGUUGUCUUUGUAGGUUUAAUCCUUGAAGGGUCUAUGCCCAUCUUGCGCACUGUAUCCUGAUAAAGCAGGUUCAGGCUACUGCCGCCGUCCAUCAGGACUCUCGUGAGGUGAAAUCCAUCGACGAUUGGGUCUAAAACCAAUGUGGCGAAUCCGCCAUGGCGGAUACUGGUCGGAUGGUCUCUUCGAUCGAAAGUGAUCGGGCAAGAGGACCAUGGGUUGAAUUUUGGGGCGACUGGCUCCAUCGCAUAUACGUCCCUUAGUGCACGCUUCCGUUCCCUCUUGGGAAUAUGCGUUGCGUAUAUCAUGUUUACCGUCCGAACUUGAGGGGGGAAUCCCUUUUGUCCUCUGUUGUUCGGCGACCGGGUCUCUUCCUCGUCAUCGUUGUGUAGCCCCUUGUCACUGUUUUUGGCGAUUAAUUUGCCUGCCUGCUUGAAUACCCAACAAUCUCUGUUGGUGUGGUUAGCUGGCUUUUCGGGGGUUCCAUGUAUUUGACAGGAGCGGUCGAGUAUUCGGUCCAAAUGGGACGGGCCCAGAGUGGUUCUUUUGAAUGGCUUCUUCCGUUGACCGGGCUUGGAGCCUCGGAAUCCGGCGUUGACUGUCGUAUCCUCAUUGCUGUCGCCGUUAAUGCGGCGUUUGUUUUUGUUUCGCGCAACCUGCCAUUGCGGUCCUUGGUAUCCGUACUGCCAGCGUUUUUGCUGAGGUUGUUGCUGCGAGCUAGCCAGCUAUCCUCUCCCGCGCAGAAGCGGGUCAUGAGUGAUGUGAGGGCUGCCAUGGAUUUCGGCUUCUCCUGUCCUAGGUGCUGGGCCAGCCACUCGUCGCGGAUGUUAUGUUUAAAGGCAGUGAGGGCCUCUGCAUCCGGACAGUCGACGAUUUGAUUUUUCUUUGUUAAGAACCAUGUCCAGAAUUGCCUGGCCGAUUCGUCUGGCUGCUGGAUUAUGUGGCUUAGGUCAUCUGCGUCCGGUGGUCGCACAUACGUGCCCUGGAAGUUGUCGAGGAAUGCGGCUUCCAGGUCUUCCCAGCGUCCAAUUGACUCUGCGGGCAGGCUGUUCAGCCAAUGCCGAGCUGGUCCUUUAAGCUUGAGCGGGAGAUAUUUGAUGGCGUGAAGAUCGUCGCCGCGGGCCAUAUGUAUAUGGAGGAGAUAAUCCUCAAUCCAAACCGCGGGGUCUGUUGUGCCAUCGUAGGAUUCGAUAUUAAUGGUUUAAACCCUUCAGGGAUUUGAUGAUCCAUUACUUCGUCAGUGAAGCAUAGUGGGUGUGCGGCGCCUCUGUAUUGAGCAAUAUCGCGACGUAGCUCGAGAGAGCGUUGUCUGCUGUGUUCGGCCCGGCCGGAGUAGUUGUAUCCGGCGCGACGGUAUUUGUCGUGGGUCUUGGGGCGCCCACGUGAUCCAUAGAUAGAUCUAGAUUGUCUUGCCUUGUCCUCCAAUAUAUCUCGCAAGUCCGGCGCGUUCCCCCGUGGCUUCAUGCUUUUUGAGCGAUGCCGGGGUACGGUUUUGGUGGAGGGUUUGCAUGCCUCUCUGUCGCGGCCACGAGGUGGUCGGUCUGCCGUAUUGUGCACUGGUGAUGCAGGUUUGUACGCUUCCUCCUCUAGUCGGGGGAGCAACUUGCGUUUUGGGUAACUUUUGGAGGGGCGUUCGAGUUCAUACUCUUCGGCCGCGAGGACCUCAGUCCAUUUGUCGGCCAGUAGGUCUUGAUCAGCUUGAAGCUGUUGCUGCUUUUUCUUUAGGCUAUUUGCCGUGGCCAUUAGCCUGCGUCUGAAACGCUCUUAUUCGACGGGAUCCUCAGGCACGACGAAUUCGUCGUCGUCGAGGCUUGCCUCGUCUCCGGAGGGAGGUAAGUAAUUAUCAUCCUCGACCUCGUCGUCUGCCGCCCUCUCGCGAGGGCUUGCUUCUGCCUCCUCCUGCACUGGAUCGUGCUGGAGGGGGUUGUCUUCGGCACUUUCCGGGGUGCUAUUAUCUCCUGUGCCGGAAUCUCCAUUCUUGCUGUGGCGGGAUUUAGAGCGGCGCCGCUGACGUUGGCGCUUGGGCUGUUUCUUUAAGGAAUCGGCCUCCGCUGCUUCUUUGCCGUCCCCAUCUUUUGGGGUGUCCACCAUGUAUAUGUCGUAUGACGAUGUGGUCUUCUAGUGUCCUGUAGGCACUGGUUCUUGAUAGUCUCCGGCAUCGUCGUCCAUACCGUCAAUGUCUUCGGAGUCGUAGUCGAGUACAUCAGUUAGAUCGUCGACGGUGGCUACAAAGUGGGUGGUGGGUGGGUUCUGAAUUUCUUCGUCGUCCGCGUCCCAACCAUCCUGGCCGUAGUUCGGCCAGGGCUCUCCGGAUAGCGAGAGAUGCUUCAGCGAAUUUAAGAUAUCGCCGAAGGGUGAGUGCUGAAAGAUGUCCGCAGCGGUGAAUUCCAUGAUCGGCGCCCAAUCGGAUUCGACUGGCGAGGGCGCAGGAGGUUCGGAGUCCGGUAGGGAGUCCGGCACCUCGGAGUCAUGAGCUUUAUGCGGGACAAGGUAAGUGUUUGGCUCCAUCGCCGUAGAAGUCGUAGCUCCCGAGGCGGUGUCCAGCCAUCCGUCCUCGAUCUGAGCGAUCGGCUCCGGACUAUGGGUCGGAGCGGAUUCGUGUGCGGCCUUCAAGGUUCUGUCCGGCGGCAGAGUUAGGUCAUGCCCAUCGUGACAGUGCGGCACGCUCGGCUGUGGCUCGGAUCCGUCGAAGAUCAAGUCCCCGCGGAUAUCGGCCGUGAAGUUUAGGCUCCCAAACCUGACCUGACGGCCAGGGGCGUAGCUUUCGAUCUGCUCCAGAUGGCCAAGUGAGUUGGCCCGCAGUACGAAGCCGCCGAAUACGAAGAUCUGUCCGGGGAGAAAAGUCUCACCCAGGACUGCGUCAUUGUAGAUUGAAGAGGCCAUCAAGCCUAUCGGUGACGACACAGAGGAACUCUCAAUGAAAGCACCAAUGUCGGUGUCAAAACCGGCGGAUCUCGGGUAGGGGGUCCCGAACUGUGCGUCUAGGUGGAUGGUAACAGGAGACAAGGGACACGAUGUUUUACCCAGGUUCGGGCCCUCUUGAUGGAGGUAAAACCCUACGUCCUGCUUGAUUGAUAUUGAUAUUGUGGAUGUUUACAAGAGUGGAUCUACCACGAGAUCAAGGAGGCUAAACCCUAGAAGCUAGCCUAUGGUAUGAUUGUUGUUGUUGUCGUUGUCCUACGGACUAGAGCCAUCCGGUUUAUAUAGACACCGGAGAGGGCUAGGGUUACAUAGAGUCGGUUACAAUGGUAGGAGAUCUACAUAUCCGUAUCGCCAAGCUUGCCUUCCACGCCAAGGAAAGUCCCAUCCGGACACGGGGCGAAGUCUUCAAUCUUGUAUCUUCAUAGUCUUGGAGUCCGGUCGAUGAUGAUAGUCCGGCCGAUGAUAGUUCGGCUGAUGAUGGUAGUCCGGCUAUCCGGACACCCCCUAAUCCAGGACUCCCUCAGAGAGGUUGAGGAAGACUCCAUCCAGCAGCAGCACAACGGCGUGGUGGUGAUGGAGGAGCGUGGCAAUCCUGCAGGGCUUCGCCAAGCACCGCGGGAGAUCAAAAGGGAGAGAGGAAGGGCUGCGCCAGGGAGAGGUCAAAACUCAUGUGUUGGCAGCCCAAAACCCUCAAGUAUAUAUAGGGGGAGGGGAGGGGGCUGCGCCCCCUCUAGGGUUCCCUCCCCAGGGGUGGCGGCAGCCCCCAAAUGCCAUCUGGGUGGCGGCCAGAAGGGGGAGAGAGGGGAGGCGCGCCUGGGGUGGGCCUUAGGGCCCAUCUGCCCUAGGGUUUGCCGCCUCCCACUCUUCCCUGCGCCUUGGGCCCCUUGUGGGGGGCGCACCAGCCCACCUGGGGCUGGUCCCCUCCCACACUUGGCCCAUGCAGCCCUCCGGGGUUGGUGGCCCCACUUGGUGGACCCCCGGGACCCUCCCGGUGGUCCCGGUACGUUACCGAAAAAACCCGAAACUUUUUCGGUGACCAAAAUAGUACUUCCCAUAUAUAAAUCUUUACCUCCGGACCAUUCCAGAACUCCUCGUGAUGUCCAGGAUCUCAUCCGGGACUCCGAACAACAUUCAGUAACCACAUACAAACUUCCUUUAUAACCCUAGCGUCAUCGAACCUUAAGUGUGUAGACCCUACGGGUUCGGGAACCAUGCAGACAUGACCGAGACGUUCCCCGGUCAGUAACCAACAACGGGAUCUGGAUACCCAUGUUGGCUCCCACAUGUUCCACGAUGAUCUCAUCGGAUGAACCACGAUGUCAAGGACUCCAUUGAUCCCGCAUACAAUUCCCUUUGUCUAACGGUAUUGUACUUGCCCGAGAUUCGAUCGUCGGUAUACCGAUACCUUGUUCAAUCUCGUUACCGGCAAGUCUCUUUACUCGUUUCGUAACACAUCAUCCCAUGAUCAACCCCUUGGUCACAUUGUGCACAUUAUGAUGAUGUCCUACCGAGUGGGCCCAGAGAUACCUCUCCGUUUACACGGAGUGACAAAUCCCAGUCUCGAUUCGUGCCAACCCAACAGACACUUUCAGAGAUACCUGUAGUGCACCUUUAUAGCCACCCAGUUACGUUGUGACGUUUGGUACACCCAAAGCAUUCCUACGGUAUCCAGGAGUUGCACAAUCUCAUGGUCUAAGGAAAUGAUACUUGACAUUAUAAAAGCUUUAGCAUACGAACUACGAUCUUUGUGCUAGGCUUAGGAUUGGGUCUUGUCCAUCACAUCAUUCUCCUAAUGAUGUGAUCCCGUUAUCAACGACAUCCAAUGUCCAUGGUCAGGAAACCGUAACCAUAUAUUGAUCAAUGAGAUAGUCAACUAGAGGCUUACUAGGGACAUGGUGUUGUCUAUGUAUCCACACAUGUAUCUGAGUUUCCUAUCAAUACAAUUAUAGCAUGGAUAAUAAACGAUUAUCAUGAACAGGGAAAUAUAAUAAUAAUAACUAAUUUAUUAUUGCCUCUAGGGCAUAUUUCCAACAUGAGGACCGCUGGCAGGACCAGCCUCGCGAGGGAGGUUGGAGGGAUCAGUCUCGCGAGGAUCACCCACAAGGCAACACGGGCCUCCCUCCUCUGCCACCACAGCUGAGGAGGAAUGAAGACCAUCAUCAGGACGAGGGGGCUGGAGGCUUCCAGGAGCCGUGUGCAAUCACUUGCAUCUUGGGCGGCGCUCAGGCCCUGACCUCUCAGCGCAUCUUCAAGCAGUUUGCUUGCGAAGUGAAUGCAGUCCUCCCCAAGCUCGAGGCCACACGCCCUCUCAGGUGGUCAGCGUGCGCCAUCACGUUCAGCUUAGCGGAUCAGCUCAAGUGCGCGGCCACAACCAGAUUCCUCCCGAUGCUUUGUUCCCCAAUCAUCAGCAAUGUGCAAGUCACCAGGACCCUCAUCGAUGGCGGAGCAGGGCUCAAUGUCCUGUCCGUCGAGACAUUCAACAAUCUCCAAGUACCAUACAAUCAGCUUCAGCCAACCAAGCCUUUCUCAGGAGUCACUAAUGGUUCCACGGUUCCGAUAGGACAUGCCCGCCUUCCUAUUACCUUCGGGAAGUGCGACAACUACCGCACUGAGCUCAUUGACUUCGACGUCGCGCACAUUCGCCUGCCGUACAAUGCCAUCCUCGGGUACCCAGCUCUGUCCAAGUUCAUGGCCGUGACUCAUCACGGCUACAAUGUCCUCAAGAUGCCAGGAAGCGGUGGAGUCAUCGCGGUGCCUUGUGAAGAGAGGGAUGCUGUGUGUUCUCUGGAGCGUGCUUUUCAAGCCGUGUCAAUUGAAGACCCAGAUCACAGGAGCGGAAGGCUUCCCGAGGCAGUCCCUAAGAAGAAGAAGACAUUGCCUGGUCCGAACCCUCGGGAGGCAGGCCCCUCAGGGUCCGCGCCCGUUCAGGGGGUGCCUCCUUCUGUCACAUAGGAAGGCGCGCCUGGCGCCCUCCUCGAGCAAGACUCAGGGGCUCUUUCCUGGAGGGCCAUCGACUUUGCUAAGAUCACGAGGGAGGCGCUCGGGCACCACUUGGAGGCGUGUUUCAAAGCACGUUUCCCUUAGGAAGGAGCGAGGCAAGGAGGGCCGAACCCUCAGGAGUUCGUCAGCGAGAUCAUUCAGGAGCUGCAGGAGUCAAGAGUCAUGAGUGGCAGCCGCCGCUUACCCGCCGUAGCUCCCCAUCUGGGCGAGGAUGGUGGGCUGCGCGUCUGCAUCGACAUACCAGGACUCAACCGAGCCACCUCUCAGGAGCGCCUCUGGCCCUCACGCGUGGGACGCUGCGAAGGUCCACCCCAUAGCUAUGUUCGCAUGCCUUACGGCUUGCCGAACGCGGCUGUUGUGCGUCAGCGCCUCAUGAGGAGCCUCCUGGAGGCUCAAGCGGCCAGGCAUUCCACAGUCCUGGCAGAGAUGGAGAUGGUCCGCGAGGAGCCGCCAGCGCCUCCGGAGCCUCCCGAGGCUCCUGGGCCUGGGGGCUCGUAAAGAUUGGCUUCCGCAGCGCAUGCCAUCCGCUACUUCAGCAUCCCUUCAUCUUCAGCAUCAUCAGGUGACAUCCUUCGAGUUUCAUUUUCAGCUGGGAGCGCCCCCAGGGCUGCAUCAUUCCCAGGCCGCGUGGGUCCGUCCCUGCGGCAUGUAUCCCUUUUAUUCAUGUUUUAGCUUAGUUUGUUGGGGGCGCCCCUCGGGCUGCAUCAUCCCCAAGUCGCUCGGGCCCCACCCAGCGAUGUUCGCCUUUUUCUGCGCCUAUCUAAAUGGAUUUGCUCCUUCAUGAUUAACGUGCUUGACUUAAUCACCCGCUCGAUUGACACCAACUGAUGGAGCUGCUCCAUAACGGCACGACGCUUGCGCAUGGGUCCGUCCCUGCAACGUCGACAAACCGGAUUGCUGAGCUCUGGCCGCGGCAACCCCGCAAGGCGCCACCUCACCAAGCCUUCAGUGCCUCGUCACCCUUCCAGAGCAACCAGUGGCUGGCUGGCAAUUGUAACGGCAAACCCUCAUUUUUCUUGUGAUGAGCUCGCAGGAUCUCUUUAAGGAGCAGCGCCGGGUGAGGCCUUCACAGUGUCUCCUUCACUCUCGUCUGCGCAAACCGCUUGCACGUUAAAGGGGGGGUACCUGAGCAUCGCGACUCAUGGACUCUUACUGGCUCUCCAGCCCUCACCUCCUGGCCUUGUCCACGGCAUCGCGACCUGGCAUACCAGCGACGGCUGAGCUCGCUCGAGGGCCGGGACUUGAGGACGUAGAGCACAAAGGGGAGUAAAGGCGAGAGGGAAGAGGCACAUGGGGACCUCGCCAGGCAACUCCUCAGCUGCCGAUGCGUGGGCCUGGCGCCGCGCCAAGGAGUGGCUUCUGACUCCCGAGAUAAGUCAUCCUCCAGAAAUACUAGCUAUCGCAGCACCGACCUCGCACCUAAUGCAGUCCCGUUUUGGCAACGUCGCGCUCCUUUUUCACCGAACGAUGGUUGCUUGAGCGCUAAAGGGGACCUCCUGAGCAUCGCGACUCAGGGGCUCUUACUGGACCCCGGGCUGCUCACCUCCUGGCCUUGACCAUGGCAUCGCGACCUGGCAUACCAGCGACGGCUGAGACUUGCCUUGGGACCGGGACCUGUCGGUGCAGAGCAUCAAGUCCUCGCGAGGUUCGAAAGGAAGAACUAAGCUAAGACGAUAUGAGCAUCUCACACCGCUUCACGAUUAGGAUCAUAUUAACAAAUGGAACUACAGACACCUUACAAACCCCCACGGGGUGUGUUCUUGGCUCCUCGCAGGAACAAAAGAUGUGAAACCUAAGCAGGUCUAACUAUAGGGACCCUGACGGCAGACGCCAUCAUCAAUAGUGGGACGCGCAAGGCCGGCGCCAGCCUCAUCCAGAUCAGCCGCGUCGACUGUCGGGCGUGCCGGCCCUGCUCCGGGCACGGCGCGAGCUCGGAGGCUCGUAGCUGUCGUCGCUCGUCGCCGGAGUCAGAAGGAGCUCUGAAGAGUCGCCGGACCCUCCGAAGCGCUCGCUGCUAUCGGAGGAGCUGCUGGAAGAGCAGGCAACGAUAGGCCUGGUCCCCGCCGCUUCGGAACUUCGGCCGCUGCCUCUGGGACAUCACUAUACCUGGCCAAACAGGCCGGCCUGGCCCGGCACGACCCGACCCAUAAUAAUCGUGCCUGGCCCGGCACGGCCCGCCAGGGCACGAUUACUAUAUGGGUUGUGCCGUGCCGGCCCACGUGCUGCGCCCCUAGGCCCAGACACGGCCUAGUUAGUAAAUGGGCCGGCACGUUGGCCCAUUUAGCAUGGUGGGCCGCAUAUUUUUAGCCUGUUAUUUGACGCACCGAGCGUUUUUAGCCUAUUUUUAUAUAUUGGGCCAUAUAUAGAUGUAUAAAAAAAUAAAAAACGUAAUCAGGCCGUGCCGUGCCGGCCCGCGUGCCCAGCCUCCCGGCCCAGGCACGGCCCAGGGUGUGCCGCGUGCCGGGCCCGACCCGUUUAGCCCGUGUCAUGCUUGGCCCAAGGCGGGCCGUGCCGCGCGUGCUCACGGGCCGGCCCGAAAAAAAGGCCCAUUUGGCCAGCUAUAGACCGCACUCCAGUCGGUGCCCAUCUUCGUCGAAGACCUUGAAGAGCAUUAAGGAGGCGCCAUCGUAAUCCAGAUGGAUCACGAGGGCCCCCUCUGAUCGGCAGACCCGGGUGAUCUCGCCCCAGCCCCGGGUCAUGAAGACCUUGCCCGGAGCGACGACCUCGACAUCCACUUCGGUCACAGGAGUACGGCAGUCGGCGUGCUGCAGCCAGAGUUUGAGAGCCCCCCUUGGCGAAAUCUCGAAGGCGGAGGAAGGAGGAAGGCGAAUCCAAAUUCGAUGAGGCAUGACGGCGUGAAGAACAAGCUCGCGAGAGGAGCCCUCGGCGUGAACUCCGGGAGGAACGACGUGCACCGCCGUAAUCCACCGGCGGCGACGGCGCCUCUGGUGGUGCCGCUUAGCGCCUGCGCCUUCAGGACCCUCGAUCUGGGCGUACAAGGGCAAUGGGAAUCCAGGCGGCGGCCGCUCAAACCAUGGCCUCGACACCUCCUGCCGAGCACCCCCUUCUCCGUAGCAAGAGACGAGACGUUUCUUCGGCGGAAGCGGGAUAGGACCCUCUCGGGGGGGGGGGGGCUUCCCCUUCUCUUCGGCAGAAAACCGACGGAUUGGUGCCAUUGGCGUAUGGUGGAGCAAGGGCAAAGAAAAAGAUGGAGAGUAGCAGGAAAAGAUGGACUGGAAGGGCUCGCGCCGUUCUGUACAUAUAGCCGGGGGAGGCCAACCGCCGGCCUUCAUGAUCGCAGGUAAUCAUGACCCGUUUUGCAUGCAGGGACUUGUCAAUUCGUGCAGUUGCUGAGGAGUCGUGGGGAAGCAGGGACGCCCACGUCCAAUCAACCGCCCCACGGCGCCCAAGGCUGCAGGCUGAUGCGGCCCGCGGCGCUUCACACUUGCCAUUUCGCUUCUCUGCUAAGCCAAGUCCAGGCGCGCCUUGGGCCUGGGGGCUACUGUCGGCGUUCUGGGAAUGGGGGUACCCAGACUUGCCUGCAUGCAGCCGGCGGUGUGUCUCAAGGAGUGGCCCAGUACGGCCCAUCUUCAUCAACACAUGCUCAAGACCCUCGCGAGGGGCCAAGCCUCGCGGGGUGGAUGACAGGAAGCUUCCUCGGGCACAGCCUCGUCAGGCUGGCUCGCGAGGAGGCGGAGAGAUCAAGGCAGGGUACCUCACAAGGUGCCCAUGACGCAAGCCAAGACGACCGAAGCCAGGCGGGCGCCAGGCGGGCGCCGGCCUGCGCAGAGUCCUUGUUUCCCCUUUGGUCCAAAGGGGGCAAGCGCAGGCAAGAGUAUCAAGUAAAGGCAACCAUUUCGGUGCAACAAGACCAAGACCAGCAGAACGGCAGGAUGGAGGUCAUCGUGGAGACCAAGCCGGCAUCACUGUCAGAGUCUUUGGCAGGCGAGGACCGACUUUAGCCAGGAUAAGUGUACUAGAUGUUCCCCUUCAAAAUGGCCAAUUGUUGGCGCCCUUCCUGCUCAAUAUUUGGGAAGAGGACCAAGGCCUCGCUCUAUAAAUAGGACUAGCCACCACAGAGUAGACGAAGAGAAAAAGGGACUCGGAUCCAAUCCUUCCCAAGAUGCAUCACCUCCACAAGAACUCCUCCCCUCGCGAGGCAGUUCUUCCUUUGUAUUGUUCAUCACCAGCCCUUGAGGCAAUCUACCACACCACAAAUUAGAGUAGGGUAUUACACCACAAUGGUGGCCCGAACUAGUAUAAACCUCGUGUCCCUUGUAUUGUUCUUCGUGUAGUUUAGAUCAUUGCGAAGCGACGAGACGUAGGUAGGUAGGAGGUGUGAUCUCCGCGCGCACCCCAGAGUUCGAACCUUGAGGGUCUGCCGGAACCCGAAAUCUGACAGGAAGAAAAGGCGAGAGCAAAGGACACACGUGCUCGAGGUAUUGAGGAAGGAUCUAGUGCCAAUCUGGUAUAGAAGGAAAACUUCCAGUCCCACAAGUUCAAGAACAAGGGCAAGCUUGAUGGUAAAGCAAAGUUUGAUGGGAAGAACAAGGCUGUACAACACACGAACUUCAAGAAGAACAGUGACAAUAAGAAAGGUGCUUGUCAUGUGUGUGGAGAUCCUGAUAAUUGGGCUCCUAGUUGUCCUAAUCGCUAUGACAAGCGUCAUCCUGGGAAAGGCGGCAAGACCGCUAAUGUUGUCAUCAGAGACAUGAAGGAUGCUGGGUAUGGUAUAUUUCCCACUAUUCUUUCAGUAUGUCAUUCUCCUGAUUGGUUGAUUGACAAGGGUGGUAAUGUGCAUGUAUGCGGUGAUAUUUCCAUGUUUUCGUCUUAUCAGACCGCGGGGACUUCAACCGUGCUGAUGGGCAACGGUUCAAGUGCUUCUGUUCGUGGUGUUGGCACGGUUGAUCUAAAGUUUACUUCGGGCUGCGGCUGAAGAACGUGCAUUAUGUCCCCUCCGUCAAUAAAAAUCUUGUUAGCGGAUCUCUUCUGUGUAUAGAUGGCUAUAAGCUUGUCUUUGAGUCGAAUAAAUUUGUAAUAUCCAAGUAUGGAACCUUUGUUGGUAAAGGCUAUGAGUCAGGAGGCCUAUUUCGUUUAUCCUUAUCAAACGUUUGCAAUAAAGUUGUUAAUCAUAUUUGCAACAAUAGUGAAUCAAAUGUGUGGCAUUCACGUCUUUGUCAUGUUAACUUUGGUUGCAUGUCGCGACUAGCGAAGUUGAACUUAAUCCCUAGUUUCAACACUGUCAAGGGAUCUAAGUGUCAAGUGUGUGUGCAAGCUAAGCAACCUCGUAAGUCUCGCAUGACUGCGGAGAAGAGAAAUCUUGCACCACUAGAACUUAUACAUUCAGAUAUAUGUGAAAUGAAUGGUGUUUUGACAAAAGGUGGAAAGAAAUAUUUCAUGACGUUAAUUGACGACUCCACUAGAUACUGCUGUGUGUAUCUUCUGAAAUCUAAGGACGAGGCUUUGAACUUUUUCAAGAUCUAUAAAGCUGAAGUGGAAAACCAACUUGAUCGGAAAAUCAAGAGGUUUGGGUCCGACCGUGGUGGAGAGUAUUUUUCCAAUGAAUUUGAUGCUUUUUGUGCAGAACAUGGUAUAAUCCAUGAGAGGACGCCUCCCUACUCACCUCAGUCAAAUGGGGUGGCCGAAAGAAAGAACCGUACUCUAACUGAUUUGGUUAACGCCAUGUUAGACACAUCGGGUCUCUCCAAGGCAUGGUGGGGGGAGGCAAUAUUGACAACAUGUCAUGUCCUAAAUCGAGUCCCCACAAAGAACAAAGAGAUAACUCCAUUCGAGGAAUGGGAGAAGAAAAGGUUAAAACUCUCUUAUCUGCAAACAUGGGGUUGUUUGAAGAAAGUCAAUGUUCUAAUUCCAAAGAAGCGGAAGCUUGGACCAAAGACUGUGGAUUGUGUUUUCCUGGGAUAUGCUUUUCAUAGCAUUGGCUAUAGAUUCUUGGUUGUAAAAUCUGAGGUACCUGACAUGCAUGUCGGUACGAUCAUGGAGUCGACUGAUGCGACUUUCUUUGAAGAUAUCUUUCCCAUGAAGGAUAUGGCUACCUCAUCUAAUCAGGAGAUGCCUAGUUCAUCGAAUCAGGAACCAGUUACAAUUACUGAACCUGCCAUUUCGAUUGAACACUUUGAAAGUCCUGUGGAGGAGAACAAUGAAGUUCCUAUUAGGAGCAAGAGACAAAGGACUGCAAAGUCCUUUGGUGAUGAUUUUCUUGUGUAUCUCAUAGAUGACACUCCCAAUUCUAUUUCAGAGGCUUAUGCAUCUGAAGAUGCUGACUACUGGAAGGAAGCAGUUUGUAGCGAGAUGGAUUCCAUCUUGGCGAAUGAAACCUGGGAGAUAACUGAUCGUCCUUAUGGGUGCAAACCUAUAGGAUGCAAAUGGGUAUUCAAGAAGAAGCUUAGGCCUGAUGGUACUAUCGAAAAGUACAAGGCUCGGCUCGUGGCUAAGGGUUAUACCCAAAAGGAAGGUGAAGAUUUCUUUGAUACUUACUCACCUGUGGCUCGACUGACCACUAUUCGAGUUCUACUUUCACUAGCUGCCUCACAUGGUCUUCUCGUUCAUCAAAUGGAUGUUAAGACUGCUUUCCUAAAUGGAGAGUUGGAUGAGGAAAUUUAUAUGGAACAACCAGAUGGGUUUGUAAUAGAUGGUCAGGAAGGGAAAGUGUGCAAGUUGCUGAAGUCUUUGUAUGGACUCAAGCAAGCACCCAAACAGUGGCAUGAGAAGUUCUAAAGAACUUUAAUAGCUGCAGGCUUUGUUGUGAACAAAGCUGACAAAUGUGUGUACUAUCGCCAUGGUGGGGCGAGGGAGUUAUGCUUUGCUUGUAUGUUGAUGACAUACUGAUUUUCGGAACAAAUCUGAAUGUUAUUAAGGAGGCCAAGGAUUUCCUAUCUCGCUGUUUUGAGAUGAAGGAUUUAGGAGUGCAUGAUGUCAUUCUGAACAUCAAGUUGUUGAGAGACGAUGAUGGUGGGAUUACAUUGCUUCAAUCCCACUAUGUGGAAAAGAUCUUGAGUCGCUUUGGCUAAAGUGACUGCAAGCCAUCUCCAACACCAUAUGAUGCUAGUGUGUUGCUUCGAAAGGAUCGGAGAAUUGCUAGAGACCAAUUGAAAUAUUCACAGAUCAUUGGCUCGCUUAUGUACUUAGCCAGUGCUACAAGACCUGACAUCUCUUUUGCUGUUAGCAAACUAAGUCGGUUUGUCUCAAAACCAGGAGAUGUGCAUUGGAAAGCUCUAGAGAGAGUUUUGCGUUAUUUGAAAGGCACUGGAAAUUAUGGAAUUCACUACAUCAGGCACCCAAAGGUGCUUGAAGGGUAUAGUGACUCAAACUGGAUCUCAGAUGCUGAUGAGAUAAAGGCCACGAGCGGAUAUGUAUUCACUCAUGGAGGUGGCGCUGUUUCUUGAAAGUCUUACAAGCAGACCAUCUUAACGAGGUCAACAAUAGAAGCAGAACUCACAGCACUAGAUACAACUACGGUCGAAGCAGAUUAGCUUCGUCGGCUCUUGAAUGACUUGCCGGUAGUUGAGAAACCUGUACCGGGUAUCCUUAUAAACUGUGAUCACUAAAGUGAGCAGCUCAAAGGAUAACAUGAAGUCAUCAAGACACGUUCAGAGAAGGUUAAAGUCUGUCAGAAAAAUGAAAAACUCCAGAGUUAUUGCAUUGGAUUAUAUCCAAACGUCUAAAAAUCUGGCAGAUCCUUCUACUAAGGGUCUAUCACGUAAUGUGAUAGAUAAUGCAUCGAGGGAGAUGGGUAUGAGACCCACAAUAUGAGUUGUUCAUAGUGGUAAUCUAUUAUUUGUGAUCGAAGAUCCCGUGAAUUAGAUGUGGAAGACAAGUUGUUGGUCAACUGGGAGGAGAGUAUCCUUAUUGUUAAAAAUACCACUCCAUGAAGAUGCAAUACUCUCCUAAUCUGCAUGGCAGGUUAAUGUAUAUCUUAAUGUGUUCUAAGUGGCUCUUUGAAGCAGAGAUGUUGUCCUGCAGAACAUCUUUUGAAGAACGCACAUAUAUGAGUCUGAUUGUUAAACGUCACAAUCUAUGAGAGUAGGGUUCUCUCUAGUAAACUCAUGAAAGGUCUCGGAGUAUGACGCAUAAGCUCCACCCGUGGGGAAGACCCACGGUAGCCACAUAUCGGUCAAGCUUUAUGUGAAGCUAGAUUCGCAGAAAACUUGCAGUUCAAGGCCCAGUCCACUGUUCAAGUUGCUAACUAGUGUAGCAUAGAGUUCUAGGUGGAAGUUCAACUUAACAGUCUCCACUGCAGUACCGGUAUAUAAAACAGUGUUUUGGAACCAAAGGCAAAUUUUGUGUGCCUCUGGGAUCUAGUGGGGGAUUGCUGGAAUUUAGUCUAUUUUGGGACAGCCCAAUAAUUAUAUCAGAAAUUCCUAAAUAAAUCCUAGAGGCCCACUUAGCCCAUUUGUGCAAGGCAAGGGAUACUACUAAUGUUUAGUCCCACAUUGCUAGUUGAGUGGGAGUUGGACCUCCUUAUAAGGGAGGUUCUUUCCCCACUUGUAUGAGCAUGAGAACAAGAGGGACAUCCACGCGUGCUCCUCCUCCGCCGCCCGCCUCGCCACGCCUCGUCACAACGCGGGUUGCGGGAAUGAGCCGAGCCGAUGUCUAAAUAUUUUCCACACACUACGGGUAUACGAAAGGUCACUCGGAAGCUGAAACAUUUUUUCUAUCCAUGGACACUGAAUCCGAACGGCGCGUCUCUUCGGCUGCUGCCUGUUCGUUUCGUCUCCUGCGUUCCCUUCAGCUCCCUGUGCAGCCUCUCGCCUCCUUCUCUUGCGCCUAUAAAAGGGAGGUCGCUCCUCUCAGAGAGAUGCACCAGAAUCUCUUCCUCCUCUCGCCACAAGUUCCUGAGCACUGCGCUGCUGCUACCUUCUUCCUCAUCCCGGCUUGCGGCGUGCAUCACAGGUCGGGGCAGUAGGCCUCCGAAACCGCACCUUUUGAGUCCUGUAAGGGAGAAGGGUGAUAAGGUUUUUGGGGAGCGCUCUGCGCGACUACUGACUUCUUCGUCACGGACGCCCCGGACUCCGACGACUACUUCCCCGACGUCGACAACCUCCUCGACGACAUGGAGGACACCGACCCCAACUCCAGUGCCUCUGCUCCUGCUGCUGUCACGUACGUGUUUCUCCCCUUUCUAUUAGAGGUUUUGCUACAGUUCCUGGUUCUAGUAUUUGCCCUACAUAUGUUAGACUCUAUUUCAUAUAUUCAACCUGCUAUACUGUCUGCUCUAGAUAUGUUUAGUUACGGUUCAUAUAUGAACAUGUUGUUUACCUUCUCUUUGUCGAAUCGCAUGGCUUGUUUUAUCACUGCUAUACUAGUCAUGCUUUAUCUAGUAUUUAUGUUAAUAAAAUCAUUCGGAAAAUUGCUCAUAUUUCCAACAGAGGGCACCCCUGCCCUCUCGUCCUGGAUCGAAGGACGCCGACCUGUCAGGAGGCAGAACAGCUCACCCCCGAGCACGGAUGGACUGGCCAACAUGUUGCCGGGGAGAGGACGAGCCCUGGCCACCUCACCUCUCACAGGAACCCUGUCAUUUUCUACUUUCCGAUCGACAUGUCUUAAUCCCACUGUUAAAUCCGCUGAAAGUAUCUGGGAGAGAAAUUUCAACAAGUGCUUUAUUGUGAAACGCCAAUGAUGUACAAUACCUUAUUGGAACUAGACAGAUGAAAAGAUGACGAUAAAUAGACUUCAGAAUAAUAUCUGAGCCCAUUGUGAGCCGCUAAAAACUCUGAAGAUAAUGACAGGGGUGCGCGAGAUAUUAACAUCAUGAACCACCCAAAAAAUUAAGCUCUUUAUCUUGUCAGCGUUCACUUGUACCAGAGUUACCAACUGCGUGUCAAAUCAGCUUACACAGUUUCAGUCACAAUGAGAAAACAUGUUCAUAUCCACCAGGAGAGAUAUUUCUCCCUUGCGAUGAAAUUCAGAGUGGAUAGUUGGAACAUGGAACAGAGGCAAAACAAUCCAGCAGAAAAUGGGACUCAGUUGUCUCAAACCAUAUGAAACCUCACAGCAAAAAUCUCAGACUGAAGUGCUAAUAGUGGAGGAAAAGUCAGGUUAAGCAUCAAAUAUAACUCAAUCACUUCACUUGAGAGUUGAGACCUUCAUCAGGGUAAUUUUCCAGAUCACCACCAACCUCAGGCUGCUGCUGCUGCUUGCAAAACCAGGAAGCAGUGAUUAGGCUUGUGGGAAACCAUGUAGUUUCAGAAGCACACAGUCACUCCUUCCCUGGUACAACAACUGCAAUGUUAUCUACCUGAACUGAAGUAGCAGGAUGCAGUCUGCAGAGCACUGAAUUCAGCAGCUCACAAACAGCACUUCAUUGGAAUCAGCUAUGUGAUCCUGAAAGCACUUUUAAAUUCCAUGUACUAAGCCGAGCACAGAUAAUAACAGACAGACAGACAGACAGGCGAGGAAAAGAAAUGCACUUGAAUUGAUGCGAGCUCUUAUGCCGAACAGGCUACAAACACAAACACACUACUACUACCUCCAUUCGGAAAUACUUGACGUGGUUCUAGUUCAAAUUUGAACUAUGAACUUCCCUGGCAGAAAAUGAAGGAGCUACCACCGGCCUCUGCACCAAUCUAUUGCACAGCCAUAGUAGCAUAUACAUCAUCCAGUAUACCAAUUGAAUCUAUAUAAUAUACUAUCCAUCUUUGCCCAAAAGAAUCAAGGCAUGUACUGUAUGUCUGUAUCCCCUUCAUUGCUGAUUGCUGCGCAAAACUUUACAGGACAGAGGCUGCUGCUCUUCAUCAGUCUGAAAAACUGCUAGUAGGUGCUAGCCGUGCAGCCAGCUGAGUUUCUCUGAGAAGAGCGGCGGCCACCGGCCGGCCAGCUUAG
rnacentral:lncRNA from 1 species